UAGGGAGGCAGCAGUGGGGAAUAUUGCACAAUGGGCGCAAGCCUGAUGCAGCCAUGCCGCGUGUAUGAAAAAGGCCUUCGGGUUGUAAAGUACUUUCAGUCGUGAGGAAGGUGUUAAGGUUAAUAACCUUAGCAAUUGACGUUAGCGACAGAAGAAGCACCGGCUAACUCCGUGCCAGCAGCCGCGGUAAUACGGAGGGUGCGAGCGUUAAUCGGAAUUACUGGGCGUAAAGGGCACGCAGGCGGUUAAUUAAGUUGGAUGUGAAAUCCCCGGGCUUAACCUGGGAAUGGCAUUCAAGACUGGUUAGCUAGAGUCUUGUAGAGGGGGGUUAGAAUUCCAUGUGUAGCGGUGAAAUGCGUAGAGAUGUGGAGGAAUACCGGUGGCGAAGGCGGCCCCUGGACAAAGACUGACGCUCAUGUGCGAAAGCGUGGGGAGCAAACAGGGAUUAGAUACC
rnacentral:rRNA from 1 species